ACAAUAAAUUGAACAAUUUAUUUUUAAACAAAAACGUUUUAUUUGUAGAUAAUACGAUUGAAUAGCUUAGAUACACUUUUAUUAAUCUUCAUAUACAUAAUAAACUGCAAUACGUAUUGUUAAAAAAGAAGACGCGAAAACCGAUUAAUUGUUUUUCUAAAGACAUUAAAUAUAGGACGAAAAAUUAUUUAAUUAUGUUAUUUUUCAUCAUACGUAUUAGCGUUGCUGUAUCCUGACUGUAAAUGCCAAUUAAUUAUUAAUAAUCAAAUACUAAACAAAGUUGUGAUAAAACUAUAAAAAAUUAAUUAUUUAUUUUCUCUCUCAAUGUGUUUGUAGGAUAUAAUUAAUUUCUUGACUGUCAAUUUUCUUCAGCAUUAUCCAUUUCUAACUUGUACUAAUCACAUGCGUCAGAUCAAUCAGGUGAGGUUGGAUCGCGUCAGUAUCAAGCAGUAUCAAGCGUACGGCUUGGUACAGCGCACGUGUAAAAGCUAUAAUGAUGGAACUGGUUUUAUGUCAUUGCUACGUGGCGUACUUUUUAUGUCAACUGUGCAAUCAACGUUGUAUAUUUCCCGUCACAGUUACACGAUGUCUCAAGGUGAACAUGUGACGACAUUGUGCUAGAUAAUGUCUAAUAUAAAUGCAUAGUAAAAUUGUGUUAACUACAUAGUGGAGAUGGAUAACUACUCAGUAGAAUUACAAGAUGGAAUUUAAAAUAGCUCCUGCCUAAGCUCUAUGUGGAAGGCUCAGUUGAUUCUAUUUGGUGAAAAGUAGCAGAUGUCAGUUUUAACACAAUUGCAACAAUCAUGGACUUUUUCGUGGGUGUAGACGUGGGAACAGGAAGCGUCCGAGCGGCUUUAGUCACCUCAAAUGGAAAAAUAAAGAAAGUGGCUACGUGUCCCCUUGAAAUAUUCAAUCCUGCUCCUAACUUCUAUGAGCAAUCUUCUGAUAACAUUUGGAGCGCAGUGUGCCACGUUGUCAAGUCGGUAGUCGCUGAUAUUUCCGCGGAAGAUAUUAAAGGCAUUGGUUUCGACGCUACUUGCUCAUUAGUGGCUGUAGACAAAACAGGCUCACCUGUGACAGUCAGUCUUACAGGUCAAGAGAAAUCGAAUGUCAUAUUGUGGAUGGAUCAUAGAGCGCACGAGGAAGCUGAGUUUAUCAAUGCUACAAAUCACGAUAUACUACAAUAUGUAGGCGGCAAAGUUUCUCUCGAGAUGCAAGCGCCGAAGAUGCUAUGGCUCAAGAAGAAUUUACCCGCUUCCUGGAACUCAGCGGCAUUGCUAUUUGACCUACCAGAUUUCUUAACGUGGAAAGCCACUGAGUCCGAGGCGCGAUCUUUGUGUUCUUUAGUGUGUAAGUGGAACUACGGCAGUAAUCCCAAUGGUAAACAAGGAUGGGACGAAGAUUUCUUCGAGCAAAUUAAUCUACGUGAUCUUAAGAAAGACAAUUGGAGAAAAAUAGGUAACGACGUAAGGAUGCCAGGCGACGCGAUCGAGCCCGGAUUGUCGGCAAAAGCUGCAGCCGAAUUGGGAUUAUUGGAAAACACUCCGGUUGGGACAUCGCUGAUCGACGCGCACGCCGGCGGCCUCGGCAUGAUCGGGUGCUACGCAGCGGAUAUAUCUCCAAAUUUCUCCAACCGACUAGCUUUGAUCUGCGGUACUUCGACGUGUCAUAUGAUAGUGAACGAGAAUGAGAUAUAUGUGAACGGCGUCUGGGGCCCGUAUUACAGCGCAAUGGUGCCCGGUCUGUGGCUCAACGAGGGCGGUCAGAGUGCUACCGGGAAGCUGCUCGAUCAUGUCAUCGACACUCACCCGGCGACGCCGGGAAUCCUGAACAGUUUGGCCGGCAACAAACACAUCCAACAACACCUGUCGGAACUGUUGCACGUGAUGGCCGAGCAAAAGAAUCUGCAGAACGUGUCGUAUCUGACGAAGGACAUACACGUAUGGCCGGAUUUCCACGGUAAUCGCUCGCCUCUUGCUGAUCCAACUCUGAAAGGAAUGGUAGCCGGAUUAUCCUUAUCAGUGGAUCAGGAGAACUUGGCGUUAUUAUACUUAGCGACAGUGCAAGCAUUAACGUACGGUACAAAGCAUAUAAUAGAAGCCAUGACGUCUGCCGGACAUAAUAUCGAGACUAUAUUAGUUUGCGGUGGGCUGAGUCAGAAUCCACUAUUCAUCCAAAUACAAGCCGACGUGUUGGCAUUGCCUGUACUUUGUCCCUUGGAACGGGAAUCGGUCUUAAUCGGCUCCGCGAUUCUCGGAGCGUGUGCCACGAAACAGUGUUCUAUGCAUGAGACUAUCAAAAGAAUGGCAGGGUCGGCGAAUAUAGUGAAACCGACAAACGACUGUUACAAGUAUCAUCUUCGAAAAUAUCACGUGUUCAAGAAAAUGGUUCAGGAUCAACAGGAUUAUAGAAGAUUAAUGAGCGCAGAAAAGUAGUCUACUCUUAUUUUUUAUAUUAUUUUAAUGUAAACGGGUUGAGAACAGUGAAAGCUAUCCAGAAGCUUCAUCAAAUCCGGAAGUUUACACUAACGCGAUAUAUUAGGCGAUACGGUUUGUGAAGAUACACGUGAAACAAAGAAAACCUGCCGGGAAAUAUCGAUAUUUCUCAUGAAUUACUAUUUCCAUCAUAGUCGUAACCACAGACUUCUAUAUGAUACUUGCAUUGCUAUCAGGCACACUCAGACAUGAUGCACAGGUAAGUCCUGUCGCCAUUUUUCGGAAAGGCAAAAUGAGAGAGUGUAAAAGAAACGGAUUCAAGACUUAAAAAGAGAGAAAAAGAAUGAAGAGAAAGACUGAAAAAAGGAGAAAACACAUAAAACAAAGGAAAAAGCUCAUAACGAGUUUUGGCUUUCAAAUUAAUCAAUUGGAAUGGAACAAUCGAUAUUUGUACUUCCCCAAAAUAUGAUUAUCAUUCCCACUAUAUUUCCACCUCACAUUAAUUUCUCGUAUUUACAGAUGUUAGCAGUCUAGGUAUCAUAUAGCUGUGUUGUAACACACACACAGUGGCGAAUGUUCUUCUUCGUAGUCAAUCAACCUUAAGAUCUGGAAAAAGAUACUGCUUUUAUUAGUAUAUAUUUUUUUAUAGUCGUUUUAAUCUGUAACUACAUUGUUGUGUGUAAAAAUAGAAAGAUAUACAUAUGGAAAUUUUGCUACCAACGAUAUUCUGUUAUAACGACCAAUAGAGAGAAACUAUAAUUUUAUUGUACUGAUUUUAUAUUAUACAAAAAUCUUUUUAUUUACAAAUUAGAUUUUUUGUUAAUAUUGAUAUAAGCAUUAUUUGCGCUAUGGAACAAUCUAGUAUCAUUUCCAGCCUAUUAUUUUUUUUAAUAAUAUGAGAGUGAAGCAAUGAACUAAAAGAUUUCUCCUGUUUGAUAAGAGUAUAAACGUCAAUAAAAUAGAACGUUACUGCAAAGAUACUGACAAAUCGGAUUAUUAUUCAACUACUUACCAAGAAUGAUCUACUUACAUGUUUAAAAACUGUAGUCCUGCAUAAGAAUCAUUCUUUCCAUAUAAAUAACCAAAGAAAAAAAUCACAAGGUUAUUACGACAAAUAAUGUCUAAUAAGACGUGUUGCUUAAUCAAGAAUUAGUAUAUACACAUAUUCUGGUACGUGUCAAAUGAUUUGUUUACUUGAAACAACGUACGAAAUACUUAUAUUUAUAUUGACAGCCCUGUGGUACAAUUUGAGCAAAAGCACUGUGCUUCACUAUUACAUCGCAUCAUCCUUCAUGAUGUGAAUUAUAUCACUAAGUGUGUUAUCUACUUUCAUUCUUAUACACUAAAUAAAUCAGUUCUCCGAUUUUAUCGUCGGAUAAAUAUGCUAAUUAUAACUCUCCCUUACACAUACAAAACGUAUUUUGCAUUGUAGUUCCACGAAUCUGCGAGAAAACUCACUAAAUCACUUUUUUCUCUUA